rnacentral:rRNA from 1 species
GGGAACGCAGAGACAGGUGCUGCAUGGCUGUCGUCAGCUCGUGUUGUGAAAUGUUGGGUUAAGUCCCGUAACGAGCGCAACCCUUGUCCUUAUUUGCCAGCGCGUAAUGGCGGGAACUCUAAGGAGACUGCCGGUGACAAACCGGAGGAAGGUGGGGACGACGUCAAGUCAUCAUGGCCCUUACGAGUAGGGCUACACACGUGCUACAAUGGUCGGUACAAAGGGUUGCCAACUCGCGAGAGUGAGCCAAUCCCGAAAAGCCGAUCUCAGUCCGGAUCGGAGUCUGCAACUCGACUCCGUGAAGUCGGAAUCGCUAGUAAUCGUGGAUCAGAAUGCCACGGUGAAUACGUUCCCGGGCCUU